rnacentral:rRNA from 1 species
GUCUUGAUGAUUAUAAUUUCAAGUYUGACCUGCCCAGUGAGGGAUUUAACGGCCGCGGUAUUUUGACCGUGCAAAGGUAGCAUAAUCAUUAGUUUUUUAAUUGAAAGCUUGAAUGAAUGGUUUGAUGAAAAAAAUACUGUCUCUGUAAAAUUUUGUUAGAAUUUUAUUUUUAAGUUAAAAAGCUUAAAUUUAUAUAGAAGACGAGAAGACCCUAUAGAGUUUUAUAUUUUGCAGGUGAAAAGAUUUUAAGGUUUGGAAAUUUUGUUACUUGUAGAAAUAUUUUGUUGGGGUGAUGGAAAAACUAGAUAAACUUUUUUUUACUUGAUUACAUUUAUUUAUGAAUUAAUGAUCCUAAUGUGUAGAUUAUAAGAUUAAAUUACCUUAGGGAUAACAGCGUAAUUUUUUUUAGAGUUCUUAUCGAAAGAAAAGAUUGCGACCUCGAUGUUGGAUUAAAAUUAAUUGCUGGUGUAGAAGCUAGUUAGAUUAGGUCUGUUCGACCUCUAAGAUUUUACAUGAUCUGAGUUUAAACCGGUGUGAG